UAGUAACAUAUUCAAAUUUUCAAAUUUGGGAUUCAAAUUUUCCCGCAUAAACGUUCAUACCCAAGUGGGAACUUCGAUCGCCUCGCUCGACUCGAUCGAUUGCCGAUAGAUGAGUAUCGAUUUAUUUGUGAUGUGAUUGUUUGUACAAAUGACGAAAUUACGCGAGUUUAACAGUUAUAUUAUUCCGCUAAUUUCGGCAGUUGUAUUAAAAUUACGUGCAUAACAUAACAUAAACUGUUUCCCAGACUUUGGACGUUAACAGAUGCGUUUCGCAUCCUUCACCUCCAAAUGAGGGCGGCGUAUUUUAGGGACAUUUCCGUCCCUUUAUGCCCAACGAACAUUAUCGACUGCUCUCAUACUUGUCCGUACUUUUAAAUCUCACACUCUUUCUGUACUUUUAAAUCCACUCAUCUUUAUCCGCUUAUUUGUUGCCAACAGCACAUGGUAACCCAUCUUUUGGCGAAACCAUGCCCACUUAGCUUAAAGAUGCAUAACCUCAGCACGUGUAUUCUUUGUGUCACAAGCACAAAGGACACGCGUAGAUUUCCUACUUGGAAGACAUUCCUCCUCAAAGUAUGGUAUUAAUUCUUAUUAUUAUGAAAAUUUAUUUCUAAAUUAUCACACAAUUAGUUGUUAGAUCAAUUCUAAUGAGAAAAUGCACGAAACAUUACGAAUUUUUCAAAAUGAAUUCUCAUCGUGGUUAUAUCAGAAAAAGUACAUUAAAAAGGCGCCAUAUUUGAAAACUCCCUAAAAGAGAAAAAUGACCGGAAGUGAACGAAGUAAACGUAAACUUUUUUAUGAUUUUUAUGAUUUCAGAACUUAAAUUAAAAAUAGAUUUAAAUAAACGAAUUAUUUAGCUUAUUAUUGCGAAUACAUUUUUAAUCGGCAAACCGGAAGUUUACGUAGGUACUUCGUCUUCCAUACAGAAGCAGACAGGGGAUUCAAGAAACACACAGAGGAGGAUCCUCGUCCGAGCUCUAGUUCUUUUAUUCGUCAGUUUUGAGAGCGAGCUUUGCAUUCAAAGAGAAUGGCGGUUAUUAUACACGCGUGUAUACGUGAUAAGAGCGGCAAACAGAAGCCGUUAAAACAAAUUAAAAAGAGCAGGAAAUUGGGUUAAGCACAGGUCAAGAUGGACGAGUGUAAUUUAUUAUACGCGGUUAUGUAAAUGAAAAAGCUGAAAAAGAAGAGGAGAAGAGGGCGUACACAGCUAGAACUGAAAAUAGACGGUCUUCCGAUCGAAUAAAAGGAAUCGAGUGGCUAAAAACUGCCGAAGGGCACAUACACACAGGCGGAAUCAAGAAAUCCAGCUGUCACGCUAUAAAUUGUCCCGUAGUUUACUUUGUAUUCAGCAAAUUUGUUUCGACAUUUUUCUUCGCUCAGUCAGGGUACAUCGUAUCUUUGAACAUGGAGGAAAGGCGUACGCGCGUGGCGCUGUUGACCCGUUUAAAAAAGAUCACCCUCGCAUCUGUUGCUGAGCGCAACAGAUCCUACGGUUGGACGAGGAGGUUAUGCCAGGAAGAAGGAGGACGAAACGUGCACGAUGAAAUGCGAUUUUUUUUUCUCCUUUUGCUGGCGUGACUCGUCGUUGCUGACGCCGCGAGUCUCUAUCUUGAAAAUUUUCAACCAUACUCCUUGAACACCUUCGAACGAUCCAUGGUUGAUCACUGGUAUCACCCGAAAGCAUAUUUCUGCAAGAGCAACGAUCGCAAUUGGUCGCUGGUUAAAAAGACCCGGGUGCGUCCGCUUCUGGUCCUCGCCUCGUGUGAGCCCGCAUUGUGCCGCUUGGUGGAUGAAGAAGGAGAAAGCGAGAGAGAGAGAGAGAGGGGAUAGGAUCGUCGCGAAAUAUG